rnacentral:rRNA from 1 species
ACAGCAGUCGCCACGGUAAUACGUAGGUGGCAAGCGUUGUCCGGAAUUAUUGGGCGUAAAGCGCGCGCAGGCGGAUAGGUCAGUCUGUCUUAAAAGUUCGGGGCUUAACCCCGUGAUGGGAUGGAAACUGCCAAUUUAGAGUAUCGGAGAGGAAAGUGGAAUUCCUAGUGUAGCGGUGAAAUGCGUAGAUAUUAGGAAGAACACCAGUGGCGAAGGCGACUUUCUGGACGAAAACUGACGCUGAGGCGCGAAAGCCAGGGGAGCGAACGGGAUUAGAUACCCCAGAGUCCCUGUCUCUUAUACAC